rnacentral:rRNA from 1 species
UACGUAGGGGGCAAGCGUUGUCCGGAUUUAUUGGGCGUAAAGAGCGUGUAGGCGGCCUGACAGGUCUGCUGUGAAAACUCGAGGCUCGACCUCGAGAUGUCGGCGGAAACCAUCUGGCUAGAGUCCGGAAGAGGAGAGUGGAAUUCCUGGUGUAGCGGUGAAAUGCGCAGAUAUCAGGAAGAACACCUAUGGCGAAGGCAGCUCUCUGGGACGGUACUGACGCUGAGACGCGAAAGCGUGGGGAGCGAACAGG